UGGCUCAGAUUGAACGCUGGCGGCAGGCUUAACACAUGCAAGUCGAACGGUAGCAGGAGAAAGCUUGCUUUCUUGCUGACGAGUGGCGGACGGGUGAGUAAUGCUUGGGAAUCUGGCUUAUGGAGGGGGAUAACUACGGGAAACUGUAGCUAAUACCGCGUAGUAUCGUAAGAUGAAAGUGCGGGACCGCAAGGCCGCAUGCCAUGGGAUGAGCCCAAGUGGGAUUAGGUAGUUGGUGGGGUAAAGGCCUACCAAGCCUGCGAUCUCUAGCUGGUCUGAGAGGAUGGCCAGCCACACUGGAGCUGAGACACGGUCCAGACUCCUACGGGAGGCAGCAGUGGGGAAUAUUGCGCAAUGGGGGGGAACCCUGACGCAGCCAUGCCGCGUGAAUGAAGAAGGCCUUCGGGUUGUAAAGUUCUUUCGGUAUUGAGGAAGGUUGUUGUGUUAAUAGCGCAACAAAUUGACGUUAAUCACAGAAGAAGCACCGGCUAACUCCGUGCCAGCAGCCGCGGUAAUACGGAGGGUGCGAGCGUUAAUCGGAAUAACUGGGCGUAAAGGGCACGCAGGCGGCUAUUUAAGUGAGGUGUGAAAUCCCCGGGCUUAACCUGGGAAUUGCAUUUCAGACUGGGUAGCUAGAGUACUUUAGGGAGGGGUAGAAUUUCCACGUGUAGCGGUGAAAUGCGUAGAGAUGUGCAGGAAUACCGAAAGCGAAGGCAGCCCCUUGGGAAUGUACUGACGCUCAUGUGCGAAGCGUGGGGAGCAAACAGGAUUAGAUACCCU
rnacentral:rRNA from 1 species